rnacentral:tmRNA from 1 species
GGGGAUGAUCGGUUUCGACAUCGCCUGUGUGCGAACGAGAAGCGGGCCGAGGAUCCAGGGUUAUCUCGUAAACGAUCUCUGGAAAACAAUAAGUGCCAAUAACAAGCGCACUGACUUCGCUCUCGCUGCGUAAGCAGUAGAGCCAAUAAGUCCGUCAGUCUGGUGACCGCCUUCUAACCAGUCCCUGACGUCAUCAAGAGGGCUCGCUGCGUGACUACGCCUGGGGGUCACGCGGGACUCGCACUCGGGCUGGGCCCGUCGACCUAGAAGCCAGUAGCAAAGGUCGGGGCCGAGCAGAACGUCUCAUCUGGCUACGCCCGUAGAAUGCGUGCAAUCUCAGCGAUGGACGGGGGUUCAAUUCCCCCCAUCUCCACCA